CUAUGCGCCUUGCCAGCCGCUCAGGUGUGCCAGCCGCGCGGUAAUACGGAGGAUGCGAGCGUUAUCCGGAUUUAUUGGUUUAAAGGGUGCGUAGGUGGUUAAUUAAGUCAGCGGUGAAAGUUUGUGGCUCAACCAUAAAAUUGCCGUUGAAACUGGUUGACUUGAGUAUAUUUGAGGUAGGCGGAAUGCGUGGUGUAGCGGUGAAAAUGCAUAGAUAUCACGCAGAACUCCGAUUGCGAAGGCAGCUUACUAAACUAUAACUGACACUGAAGCACGAAAGCGUGGGGAUCAAACAGG
rnacentral:rRNA from 1 species